rnacentral:rRNA from 1 species
UACGUAGGGUGCAAGCGUUGUCCGGAAUUAUUGGGCGUAAAGAGCUCGUAGGCGGUCUGUUGCGUCCGCUGUGAAAACUCGGGGCUUAACCCCGAGCCUGCAGUGGAUACGGGCAGACUAGAGGUAGGUAGGGGAGAAUGGAAUUCCCGGUGUAGCGGUGAAAUGCGCAGAUAUCAGGAGGAACACCGGUGGCGAAGGCGGUUCUCUGGGCAUGUCCUGACGCUGAGGAGCGAAAGUGUGGGGAGCGAACAGG